rnacentral:rRNA from 1 species
GUUUCCGGCCACACCACCCUGAACGCGCCCGAUCUCGUCUGAUCUCAGAAGCUAAGCAGGGUCGGGCCUGGUUAGUACUUGGAUGGGAGAACUGUCAGUAUUGGGUCAGCAAGCA